GUCAGGAUGAACGCUGGCGGCGUGCCUAAUACAUGCAAGUCGAACGCUUUGUGGUUCAACUGAUUUGAAGAGCUUGCUCAGAUAUGACGAUGGACAUUGCAAAGAGUGGCGAACGGGUGAGUAACACGUGGGAAACCUACCUCUUAGCAGGGGAUAACAUUUGGAAACAGAUGCUAAUACCGUAUAACAAUAGCAACCGCAUGGUUGCUACUUAAAAGAUGGUUCUGCUAUCACUAAGAGAUGGUCCCGCGGUGCAUUAGUUAGUUGGUGAGGUAAUGGCUCACCAAGACGAUGAUGCAUAGCCGAGUUGAGAGACUGAUCGGCCACAAUGGGACUGAGACACGGCCCAUACUCCUACGGGAGGCAGCAGUAGGGAAUCUUCCACAAUGGGCGAAAGCCUGAUGGAGCAACGCCGCGUGUGUGAUGAAGGGUUUCGGCUCGUAAAACACUGUUGUAAGAGAAGAAUGACAUUGAGAGUAACUGUUCAAUGUGUGACGGUAUCUUACCAGAAAGGAACGGCUAAAUACGUGCCAGCAGCCGCGGUAAUACGUAUGUUCCAAGCGUUAUCCGGAUUUAUUGGGCGUAAAGCGAGCGCAGACGGUUAUUUAAGUCUGAAGUGAAAGCCCUCAGCUCAACUGAGGAAUUGCUUUGGAAACUGGAUGACUUGAGUGCAGUAGAGGAAAGUGGAACUCCAUGUGUAGCGGUGAAAUGCGUAGAUAUAUGGAAGAACACCAGUGGCGAAGGCGGCUUUCUGGACUGUAACUGACGUUGAGGCUCGAAAGUGUGGGUAGCAAACAGGAUUAGAUACCCUGGUAGUCCACACCGUAAACGAUGAGUGCUAGGUGUUUGAGGGUUUCCGCCCUUAAGUGCCGCAGCUAACGCAUAAGCACUCCGC
rnacentral:rRNA from 1 species